rnacentral:lncRNA from 1 species
GGACAGUCCUCGCUCCAGCCUCCUGAAACCCUGGCAGAGCGGGAUUUGGGAUCAGAUGGACUAAGGCUAAGCUGCUCUAAUAAGGUCGCUGAAGCUGCGGCAAGUCACUAUGUCAAUGUGGUGCUUAUUCCUGGAAGGAUAGUUUUAUUAAAAGACUUGGGAGAAAAAUAAUUACACUAAAACAAAUGGGGACAGAAUGCAACAUACACAUGUAUUACUUUAAAAAAAAAACUUUUUAGACCAGGCGUGGUGGCUCAAGUCUGUAAUCACAGCACUUUGGGAGGCUGAAGCGGGCAAAUCAUUUGAGGUCAGGAGUUUGAGGCCAGCCUGGCCAACAUGGUUAAACCUUGUCUCUACUAAAAAUACAAAAAUUAGCCACGCGUGGUGGCACACAUCUGUAAUCCCAGCUACUCGGGAGGCUGAGGCUGGAGAAUCCCCUGAGCCCAGGAGUUCGAGGUUGCAGUGAGCCGAGAUCGCGCCAUUGCACUCCAGCCUGGGUGACAGAGUGAGACCCUGUCUCUUAACAAAAAGAAAAGAAAAUUAGCUGGGUGUGGUGGUGUGCGCCUGUAAUCCCAGCUACUUGGGAGGCUGAGGCAGGAGAAUUGCUUGAACCAGGGGGACGGAGGUUGUAAUGAGCUGCAAUCAUGCCAUUGCACUCCAGCCUGGGUGACAGAGCGAGACUCCGUCUCAAAAUAAAUAAAUACAUAAAUAAUAAAUAAAUAAAAUUUUUAUAUUUAUUCAUUUUGAGGCUGGGUCUUGCUGUGUUGCCCAACCUGGAGUUCAGUGGUAUGAUCACAGCUCACUGCAGCCUCAACCUUCUGGGCUCAAGCUGUCCUCCCGCCUCAGCCUCCACAGGUGUGUACCACCAUAGUAGGCUAAUUUUUUUUUUUUUUUGAGAUGGAGUCUCGCUCUGUUGCCUCCUGGGUUCAAGCGAUUCUCCUGCCUCAGCCUCCCUAGUAGCUGAGAUUACAGGCACGCACCCCCAUGCCCAGCUAAUUUUUGUAUUUUUAAUAGAGAGGGGGUUCACCAUGUUGUCCAGGCUGUUCUCAAACUCCUGACCUCAAGUGAUCCGCCCACUCGGCCUCCAAAAGUGCUGGGAUUACAGACAUGAGCCACCACACCUGACUGGCAUUCGGCUAAUUUUAAAAAUUUUUUUGUAGAGACUGGGUCUCCCUAUGAUGCUCAGGCUGGUCUCAAACUCCAGGGCUCAAGCAAUCCUCGUGCCUAGGCCUCCCAGAGUGCUGCGAUGACAGCUGUGAGCCACCAUGCCUAUUUAUUUAUUUUUUGAGAGGAGGUCUCACUCUGUUGCCCACACUGAGUGUAGCAGUGCAAUCCUAGUGUGUCCGGAAUUGGUGGGUUCUUGGUCUCACUGACUUCAAGAAUGAAGCGACGGACCCUCGCGGUGUUACAGUGCUUAAAUGCAGCGUGUCUGGAGUUUGUUCCCUCUGAUGUUCGGAUGUGUUUGGAGUUUCUUCCUUCUGGUGGGUUUGUGGUCUCGCUGGCUCAGGAGCGAAGCUGCAGACCUCUGCGGUGAGUGUUACAGCUCUUAAGGCGGCACGUCUGGAGUUGUUCGUCUGGAGUUGUUCCUUCCUCCCGGUGGGUUUGUGGUCUCGCUGGCUUCAGGAGUGAAGCUGCAGACCUUCGCAGUGAGUGUUACAGCUCAUAAAGGCAGUGUGGACCCAAAGAGUGAGCAGCAGCAAGAUUUAUUGCAAAGAGUGAAAGAACAAAGCUUCCACAGUGUGGAAAGGGACCAGAGCAGGUUGCUACUGCUGGCUCAGGCAGCCUGCUUUUAUUCUCUUAACUGGCCCCACCCACAUCCUGCUGA